CUGGGUUCUCUGUGUGUGUGCAUGUGCAUGUGUGUGUGCGCAUACACACAU
rnacentral:miRNA from 1 species